UGGCAGUCAGAGGCGAUGAAGGACGUGCUAAUCUGCGAUAAGCGUCGGUAAGGUGAUAUGAACCGUUAUAACCGGCGAUUUCCGAAUGGGGAAACCCAGUGUGAUUCGUCACACUAUCAUUAACUGAAUCCAUAGGUUAAUGAGGCGAACCGGGGGAACUGAAACAUCUAAGUACCCCGAGGAAAAGAAAUCAACCGAGAUUCCCCCAGUAGCGGCGAGCGAACGGGGAGCAGCCCAGAGCCUGAAUCAGUGUGUGUGUUAGUGGAAGCGUCUGGAAAGGCGUGCGAUACAGGGUGACAGCCCCGUACACAAAAAUGCACAUACUGUGAGCUCGAUGAGUAGGGCGGGACACGUGGUAUCCUGUCUGAAUAUGGGGGGACCAUCCUCCAAGGCUAAAUACUCCUGACUGACCGAUAGUGAACCAGUACCGUGAGGGAAAGGCGAAAAGAACCCCGGCGAGGGGAGUGAAAAAGAACCUGAAACCGUGUACGUACAAGCAGUGGGAGCACGCUUAGGCGUGUGACUGCGUACCUUUUGUAUAAUGGGUCAGCGACUUAUAUUCUGUAGCAAGGUUAACCGAAUAGGGGAGCCGAAGGGAAACCGAGUCUUAACUGGGCGUUAAGUUGCAGGGUAUAGACCCGAAACCCGGUGAUCUAGCCAUGGGCAGGUUGAAGGUUGGGUAACACUAACUGGAGGACCGAACCGACUAAUGUUGAAAAAUU
rnacentral:rRNA from 1 species